GGGAGUUUAUCGUAAAUAGGCCCUCGUUGGGCUCGCAGGGGGAGGGUGGGACGCCUAAGUAUGCGACUAUCUACCUUGGACUAAACACAACGGGGAACAAGCGCCAUCUGUUCACGUCAAGAACUUGGCAGGACGACGAGGACGUGAAGGCUGCAAACACCGCUAACACGCUGCUAAAGCAGCAGAUUGUGCGGGCGUCGCACAUCCUGACGAUACAGACGAUAACUGGGGAUUUUGUGCUCCUGGAACAAAAUGGCAGCAGGCGGGAGCAAGCAGAAGCAUCCGGGGUGGGAGAUAAGGAGCGGGAAUGUUUGCCUGGCGUAAUCACACGAUCUUCACGUCUGGACCACGACAAGACAUGCUGAAGAAGCAUCAUCAUCCUCCUCAGAAGAACAUUCUGUUCCCAUGUAACACCUCCUUCCUCCUCAUGUAGACUGACUUAUUAUUAUUGCAACACUUCAUCACACUGA